rnacentral:rRNA from 1 species
GAUGAACGCUGGCGGCGUGCUUAACACAUGCAAGUCGAACGAAGCAUUUAGAACGGAUUACUUCGGUUUGAAGUUCUUUAUGACUGAGUGGCGGACGGGUGAGUAACGCGUGGGUAACCUGCCUUGUACUGGGGGAUAGCAGCUGGAAACGGCUGGUAAUACCGCAUAAGCGCACAAUGUUGCAUGACAUGGUGUGAAAAACUCCGGUGGUAUAAGAUGGACCCGCGUCUGAUUAGCUAGUUGGUGAGAUAACAGCCCACCAAGGCGACGAUCAGUAGCCGACCUGAGAGGGUGACCGGCCACAUUGGGACUGAGACACGGCCCAGACUCCUACGGGAGGCAGCAGUGGGGAAUAUUGCACAAUGGAGGAAACUCUGAUGCAGCGACGCCGCGUGAGUGAAGAAGUAAUUCGUUAUGUAAAGCUCUAUCAGCAGGGAAGAUAGUGACGGUACCUGACUAAGAAGCUCCGGCUAAAUACGUGCCAGCAGCCGCGGUAAUACGUAUGGAGCAAGCGUUAUCCGGAUUUACUGGGUGUAAAGGGAGUGUAGGUGGCCAUGCAAGUCAGAAGUGAAAAUCCGGGGCUCAACCCCGGAACUGCUUUUGAAACUGUAAGGCUAGAGUGCAGGAGGGGUGAGUGGAAUUCCUAGUGUAGCGGUGAAAUGCGUAGAUAUUAGGAGGAACACCAGUGGCGAAGGCGGCUCACUGGACUGUAACUGACACUGAGGCUCGAAAGCGUGGGGAGCAAACAGGAUUAGAUACCCUGGUAGUCCACGCCGUAAACGAUG